CAUUAGUUCAUCAAAUGGCACUUUGGAUAUUAUAUGGCAGACAAAAACAGAGCCAACGAACUUUGGAUAAACAAGGCAUGAAAGAAAUUUAAACAGAGAGAGCUUGCUAGUUCUGGAUGAUUUUAGCUUUUGAAAUUCAGAUUACCCCAUAUCACAUGAAACUUGCAAAACUUCCAGUGAAUAAACUUAUAGACAGACAAGCGGAGAUAUUGAACCAGACUGUUCCAAGAUUGUACAUGAUGUAGUACCACAUCCAGGGUCCUCACAGUUUUGUGUAUACAUGACAAUUGUACCUCAUGCAUGGACAGAAAUAGCGAUUGAAUCAUAUGAAGAAAAUGUGACUUAAAAUCAUAAAAACUAAGAAAAGAAAUAUAAAGAUUUAUUGGCCAAUGGAUGAAGUCGCUUAUUUUAAAGUAUGUUGAGAGAAGUUCAGAACAAGCUAUUUUGUUUGAGGAGAAGUUGUCAGCACGUCAUCAUUGAAUAAAUUAAAUUAUAGUGAAGCCUAAACAGAAAUGAGACAAUUAUCAAAUAAUUCAAAGACUACAUGGAUGAAGACUUACAAGGCAAAUAAUUGGCUGUGGCAAACAUGUGUAUGCAUUUACAUGUUUAAAGACUUGAAGAACUUGUACUGCCUUCUUCAGAUUUAAGUAAAUUCUGAGUAUGAAUUGAAGAAUUUUUGCUCAUUUAAAUGAAUUAUGAAAAUGUUUUACAUCUUAAAUAUACAAAAACAACAUACAUUAUUUUUUCUUUCUUGAAACUUAUUACAAAAUAAAUUCUUAUAUAUAUACUAA